AACGAACGCUGGCGGCAUGCCUAACACAUGCAAGUCGAACGAGACCUUCGGGUCUAGUGGCGCACGGGUGCGUAACGCGUGGGAACCUGCCCUUAGGUUCGGAAUAACUCCCCGAAAGGGGUGCUAAUACCGGACAAUGUCUUCGGCCCAAAGAUUUAUCGCCUUUGGAUGGGCCCGCGUUGGAUUAGCUAGUUGGUAGGGUAAAAGCCUACCAAGGCGACGAUCCAUAGCUGGUUUGAGAGGAUGAUCAGCCACACUGGGACUGAGACCCGGCCCAGACUCCUACGGGAGGCAGCAGUGGGGAAUAGUGGACAAUGGGCGAAAGCCUGAUCCAGCAAGGCCGCGUGAGUGAUGAAGGCCUUAGGGUUGUAAAGCUCUUUUACCCGGGAUGAUAAUGACAGUACCGGGAGAAUAAGCUCCGGCUAACUCCGUG
rnacentral:rRNA from 1 species